UACGAAGGGGGCUAGCGUUGUUCGGAAUCACUGGGCGUAAAGCGCGUGUAGGCGGAUGUGUUAGUCAGGUGUGAAAUCCCGAGGCUCAACCUCGGAACUGCCUUCGAAACUGCAGGGCUCGAGUCCGGGAGAGGAGGGCGGAAUUCCCGGUGUAGGGGUGAAAUCCGUAGAUAUCGGGAGGAACACCAGUGGCGAAGGCGGCCAUCUGGUCGGUGACUGACGCUGAGACGCGAAAGCGUGGGGAGCAAACAGG
rnacentral:rRNA from 1 species